rnacentral:rRNA from 1 species
GUGGGGAAUAUUGGACAAUGGGGGGAACCCUGAUCCAGCCAUGCCGCGUGUGUGAAGAAGGCCUUUUGGUUGUAAAGCACUUUAAGCGAGGAGGAGGCUACCGAGAUUAAUACUCUUGGAUAGUGGACGUUACUCGCAGAAUAAGCACCGGCUAACUCUGUGCCAGCAGCCGCGGUAAUACAGAGGGUGCAAGCGUUAAUCGGAUUUACUGGGCGUAAAGCGCGCGUAGGUGGCCAAUUAAGUCAAAUGUGAAAUCCCCGAGCUUAACUUGGGAAUUGCAUUCGAUACUGGUUGGCUAGAGUAUGGGAGAGGAUGGUAGAAUUCCAGGUGUAGCGGUGAAAUGCGUAGAGAUCUGGAGGAAUACCGAUGGCGAAGGCAGCCAUCUGGCCUAAUACUGACACUGAGGUGCGAAAGCGUGGGGAGCAAACAGGAUUAGAUACCCCUGUAGUCC